AAAAAAUGAUUCAGAGGUUAGUAGAUAAAACUUAAAAUGAAGAACAUUUUCGACAUAAAAAAAUUAAGUUUGCUACUUGUACAUGUAUAGGUGAGUUGACAAUUUAUUUUAAGGAGUUUGUAAUACUGAAAAAGAAAGAAAGCUGUCUCAACUUAUUCAUAUAUGGAUUUUCAACACACAGUCUUGCUUUCACCUAACAAUAGAAAGUAUUAAGUUCCUGAAACUUGUAAAUCUCGUGACCAAACUUAUAAAGCUAAUAACACGAUUGAACGUUCAGGACCUUCCAGACCACGCCUGAGAAGUAACAGCAAUUAUGGCACAGGAUCCUGUAGCCUGCAUGGAACAUCACAGGUACGUGCAAAGUAGUCUAGCCUACUAUUUUUGUGUUUGUUUUAAAAGCAACAGCUAUCAAACAACGGCACACAGUGCAUCAAAAUCUUUGUCACGUGACACUCAAAUGAAAUUAACGCUACAGCUUGCCCUUUUGCUAAUUUGAAUAUUUGAAAAGAUGGAUUUUAGCUAUCUACAGACAGUAGCUAUCGUGUCUUCCAAGCUAGCUGCUGCUUGCACGGUAAUUAAACCAUUUGAAAAGAUGACUUUGGUAGCUGGCGUCUUCAAAGUUACCUGCAGCCUGCCCUUUGAUCAUUUGGAGUUAGUAAAGAUAAAUGACGAAUUCAGACGGAUCUCUACAUUCAUUCAUUGCACAACUGGACCAGUUGCCAUUGCUUUAAAAAUAAACAAUGCUUUCAGAAAA